UUAACCCCAAAAAUCUGUUAAAUUAAUUCUAUGCAUGAUGUGUGAUAUAUUACCAGAUUAAACUCUAGUAGUUAAACUCUAGUAGUUAACUUGUAAAGUAUAGCUCUCCGCUUAGUCUCUUAAACACCAUGAUGCACUCGUUGUACAACCGACAUUUUUUCUUUUAAGUAUAAUUUAACAUUUUAUU
rnacentral:sRNA from 1 species